rnacentral:misc_RNA from 1 species
GAUGAAGAACGCAGCGAAAUGCGAUAAGUAAUGCGAAUUGCAGAAUUCCGUGAGUCAUCGAAUCUUUGAACGCACAUUGCGCCCGCUGGUAUUCCGGCGGGCAUGCCUGUUCGAGCGUCAUUUCAACCCUCAAGCCCCCGGGUUUGGUGUUGGGGAUCGGCUCUGCCCUUCUGGGCGGUGCCGCCCCCGAAAUACAUUGGCGGUCUCGCUGCAGCCUCCAUUGCGUAGUAGCUAACACCUCGCAACUGGAACGCGGCGCGGCCAUGCCGUAAAACCCCAACUUCUGAAUGUUGACCUCGGAUCAGGUAGGAAUACCCGCUGAACUUAAGCAUAUCAAUAAGCGGAGGA